AGCAGUAGCCGCGGGAACACGUAGGUGGCAAGCGUUGUCCGGAAUUAUUGGGCGUAAAGGGCUCGCAGGCGGUUUCUUAAGUCUGAUGUGAAAGCCCCCGGCUCAACCGGGGAGGGUCAUUGGAAACUGGGAAACUUGAGUGCAGAAGAGGAGAGUGGAAUUCCACGUGUAGCGGUGAAAUGCGUAGAGAUGUGGAGGAACACCAGUGGCGAAGGCGACUCUCUGGUCUGUAACUGACGCUGAGGAGCGAAAGCGUGGGUAGCGAACAGGAUUAGAUACCCGUGUAGUCCCUGUCUCUUAUAC
rnacentral:rRNA from 1 species